GACGAACGCUGGCGGCGUGCUUAACACAUGCCAGUCGAACGGAAAGGCCCUGCUUUUGUGGGGUGCUCGAGUGGCGAACGGGUGAGUAACACGUGAGUAACCUGCCCUUGACUUUGGGAUAACUUCAGGAAACUGGGGCUAAUACCGGAUAGGAGCUCCUGCUGCAUGGUGGGGGUUGGAAAGUUUCGGCGGUUGGGGAUGGACUCGCGGCUUAUCAGCUUGUUGGUGGGGUAGUGGCUUACCAAGGCUUUGACGGGUAGCCGGCCUGAGAGGGUGACCGGAGUGGUGGGGACUAAGAGAGGGCGCAGCCUCGUCCGGGGGGGAGCAGGGGGGAAUAGGGCAGCGGGGGGGGAGGCCUGAGCCAGCACCGCCGGGUGGGGGAUGAGGGCGUUGGGGGUGAAAACAGCUUCCGCCGGUAACGGGGCGUGAGUGGCGGUAAUGGGAAAAGAAGCACCGGAUAACUACGUG
rnacentral:rRNA from 1 species